rnacentral:lncRNA from 1 species
GAUGUCAUAAAAUAAAUGUUCUCUUAUAGUUACCAAACAUUAACAUAAUCUUACAUUUGUUUAUUAUUUUACGAAAAUAAAUUAAUAUUUCGAUACAAAUUUUUUAUUAUUAGAACACUUAAAAUAAAUUUGACCCAGUAAAUCGAUCUCAAAAAACCUGCAAAAAAAAUAAAAUCAUGUUAGACAUUAAUCUAAAAUCUAAAAACUUAAGUUGAAUUAACACAUUUUAUAAGCUAAUAAUUAUGUUUUAAAAAAUUAAAGUGAUUUUUAUUAAAAUAUAUACAUGUACCAUAGAUUAUAUACCAAGUCAUUAUUUAAAAUUAAGAUUAAAUUUAUUAAUAUUUAUUUUAUUUGAAUAUUUGUAUAUUUAAAAUUCUUUUAUUUAUUUAUUAUAAAGUCAGCAUUUGUGGAAUGAAUCCAAGUACAUGUGAAAUUUUGAAGUGUAGGAAGGUUUUGGAGGAAAUCAGAAUUUUGAAGAACUCUCGACCACAUUGAAGUUGUCCAUCUUUCACGUUUUGACUGAGUUGUGAAAUUAUGUACAAGAAUGAAUGAGUAACGACUUAAUUAUAACCGACACAGAAUAUUUGAACACAGAGAUGCAGACAUUUUUUAGAUCAGAAGUUACGUAACCCACACUAUGGGUUUAGUAUUCUUAUGCACAAAUAACUAACUAUUUUAAGUUAUAUAUAAAAUUUAAGUUUAAAAUUAAAUAUGUAAUGUUUGAAGUGAACAAAUCUUCUCAAAAUUUAAACUUUUUAUUUUAUUUUAAUAUUAGUUGGAUUUGGACUAAUUUUUUUAACACUUUAAAUAUAACAAUCUCAUUAUUUAAAAUUUAAUAUAAUGAGAUUUUUGCCUACCGAGAGAUUUUUUAAUUUUUCUUGAAUCGUUUUGACCUUUUCAUUGGUUUAUUGUAUUAGUUCUGGUCCAAUCAGCACACUCUCACCAUCCUUAAAUCAACAUGGAGGUGUCCUGCACUUUCUUACCACUUCUUUAAAGAAGAGCCUAGAGAUAUUGUUUGCAUCAUCUAUUUCGUGGCAUGGAAUAAAAUGUGUCAUCUUACUAAACCUAUCCACCACCACAAAAAUAGAAUAAAAACCUCUUGUUGUCCUAAGAAGUCUUAAAAUAAAAUUCAUGCUAAUGUCUUCCCACGGAGCACUUGCAAAAGGUAGAGGAGUAUAGAGUCCAUGAGGCAUUGCUUAAGAUUUGGCUUUUAAACAAGAAAUGCAUCUAUAACAAUGUCUCUUAACAUUUUUUCUCAUGUGUGGCCAAAAGAAUUUUACUUUUAAAAGCUCUAGAGUUUUAUCAACUCCAAAAUGGCCCACGAGACCCCCUUCAUGAGUUUCUUUUACAAGAAGUUUUCUAUGUGUUCCUUGGGGUAUGCAUAGUUUUCCUUCUUUAAAAAGAUACCCUUCAGACACAUAAAAAUCUCCUUGUGCUCUAUGUUCACAUUAAACAAAAGUGGAUGCAAAAUCUCGAUCUUCUUUGUACAGUUCAGGUAUGUUUUCAAAUCCAAGAAUAUAGGCACCAAGUUUUGAAAAGAGGGCGUGUCUCCUAGAGAGAGCAUCAACCACAAUAUCAGUACUUCCCUUCUUGUAUUUGAUAACGUAAGGGAAUUGUUCAAGAAAUUCCAUCCAUUUUGCAUGACGUUUAUUCAACUUAUGCUGACCCUUCAGAUAUUUUAAAGACUCAUGAUCACUAUGAAUUACAAAUUGUUUUGAAACCAGAUAGUGCUCCCAAGUCUUCAGGGCCCUCACAAGUGCAUAAAGCUCCUUAUCAUAGGUAGGGUAGUUGAGGGUGGCACCAUGAAGUUUUUCACUGAAAUAAGCAAUUGAGUGGCCACCUUGCAACAACACUACACCUAUGCGUACUCCUGAUGAUCACAUUCUAGCUCAAAAGUUUUUGCAAAGUUUGGUAGAGCUAAAACGGGUGCAUUAGUGAGUUGAGCUUUACGCCUCUUGAAGGCUUGAUCUUGCUUUUCAGUCCAACAAAAUGGAGUGUCCUUCUUCACUAAAUCAUUGAGUGGUGAAGCUAGACUCGAGAAGUUAUGCACAAAUCUUCUAUAAAAACUUGUUAACCCAUGAAAACUCCUAACAUCUACAUUUUGUGGAGUUGGCCAUUCUUGGAUGGCUUUGAUUUUCUCAGGGUCAACAUGUACCCCAUUUUUGUUAACUACAAAACCUAAAAACACUACACUAUCAACACAAAAGGUACACUUAUCAGCAUUAGCAAACAAACUAUUAGUUUUAAGCACUAAAAGAACUUCCCUAAGGUGACUUAGGUGGUCAUCUAGGCUUUGAAUAUACACUAAUAUAUCAUCAAAAUAAACUACUACAUAUUUACUUAUACAAUCUCACAAGACAUGAUUCAUAAGCCUUAUAAAAGUGUUGGGUGCAUUAGUAAGGGCAAAAGCCAUCACUAACCAUUCAUAUAAUCCAAAUUUGGUCUUAAAAGCGGUUUUCCACUUAUUGCCUUCUUUAAUUCGAAUUUGGUGAUAUCCACUUUAAAGAUCAAUCUUGGAAAAUAUAAUGGACCCAUGCAAUUCAUCAAGCAUAUCAUAUAGUCUUGGGAUUGGAUGUCUGUACUUGAUGGUGAUAUUAUUGAUGGCUCUACAGUCACAACACAUUCUCCACUUGCCAUCUUUUUUUGGCACCAACAAGACAGGUACAACACAAGGACUUAAACUCUUUUGAACCCAGCCCUUCUCCAACAAAUCUUGUGCUUGUGAUUCUAUCUCCUUAGUUUCUUCAGGGUUAGUUCUAUAAGCUGGUCUAUUGGGUAGACUAGCUCCUGGAACUAAAUCUAUUUGAUGUUCUAUACCUCUAAAAGGUGGAAGUCCAAUAUGGCCUUCCUUAGAGAAUAUAUCAUCAAAUUCUUUUAAAAGUUCUUUUACUUGAGGAGGUAGAACACAAGUCUUAGUUAGUGUCGCAGUGCAUGUAAGUGUUCAUUUACAAAUCAAGAGGCCUGAAGGUUGUUCAGUAAGAAGUUUGUUUUAAAAUUUUUCUUCUUCCUGAAUGACCUUGUGGGAAGGAACACUCUUCUCCCACGCCUCUUUUUCCAGAAGGGCUUUUUCUUGGUUUUCUAUUUUUUUUUCUUCCUCUUUUUUUUUUUCUCAUUUGCACUUGGUCUUUUACCACUUGUGAAGGUGACAAGGGAUAAAGUACAAACUUCUUUUCUUUGUGAGUGAAAGUAAUCUCAUUGGUAAGACCAUUGUGCAUAGUUUUCUUAUCAAAUUGCCAAGGUCUACCCAACAAAAUAUGACAAGCUUCCAUGGGAACUACAUUACAUAAAACUUUAUCUUUAUAGUUUCUCACAGAGAACUCGACUUUCACUUGCUUAUCUACAGUUAACUUCCCAUCUUCGUUUAUCCACUGAAGUUUAUAAGGUUUAGGAUGAGGUUUUACCUGUAGAUUCAACUUUUCAACCAUCCUGUUGCUACAACAAUUGUAGCAAGAACCACUAUCCACAAUGAGAGAACACACAUUUCCAAAAACUUUACAUCUUGUGCGGAAAAUGUUCUCCCUUUGUGUUUGUUGAUUCAUAUUAGGUUGGUUGUUGAGUUGAGGGUUCUAUGGAUUAUCAUUAACUCGCCCUCACAUGGAUACACCCCUUCACUAUUUUCUUUUUCUUCUCCCCCACUAACUUCAUCACUUUGGCUGCUAUAUUCAUCUUUCCCUCUUAAGAGUAUGGUUCUCCUAUUUGGGUACUGGGCAACUAUAUGACCUCUUAAAACAUUUGGUGUCUUUGCUACGGGGUUGUGGGGUUAUCACAUCUUUAUCUAUAUUUUUGGAAGUUUCUUUAGGUUUUUCCUUUGUGGUUUCCUCCCUUUUAUACUCUCUCUUGGGAUAAGAGUUAGAAUAUGAACCUUCCAUACAACUUGAAGUUUUUCUCAAAUUUUUUUGUUCAACUUUGAUACAAAGUUGAAUUAAAUCAUUCAAGUCUCUAUAGGGUAAAAGUUCAACCCUUUCUCAAUCUCAAGAUUGAGUCCACUCAAAAACCUUGCUAUGGUGUGUUGAUCAAGAGUGAUCAAGAGCUUUGAAGAAUCCAAAUCCAAGGUGUUUGAUGAAAGGCUGGAGUUGCUGAUGUGUGUUUGUGUGGGGUCUGGGGUAGAAUCAUUUGUAAUCCACUCCUUGUUGGAAUCCAGAACUAAUUUGAUUUGAAAACCUUUUUAAAAUGGAAUGUUUUUCAACUAAGGGAAAAACAACACGUUGUUUGAUCGAAUCAACCAAUUGUUUUGUUCUUAGAAGGUUUUGAAAAAGGUUGAAAGCUGUUUGACUUGGUUGACUUAACUGUCAAAUUUAAUCAAUCGGUUGUUUCGUGUUUUCAACCGAUUGUUUCUUUGAAAAUCCUAACAAAAUUCAGUUUUGAUUCGUGAAUCUCUCUUAAAUGAUUUCUAACUGAAUGCGCUCUUGUUUUAAAUGUUUUUAAAUAUUCUUUGGAGUAUAAAAAGUUUGUUACACGCUUCUGAAAUGUGAAAGAAACAGUUUUGAGAAAUCAUAGUGCAAAUUGAAUUUCAAGUUUUCAAGAUUCACUUCAAGCUUUGGAUUUUCAAGUGUGUGGAAUAGGAUUGGGGUGUACUUCUAAUCUUUAAGUUUUGUAAUACCCAGGUGUAUUCUAUUCUCUUCUUUCUUGAUUACUGUAUUUCUGUAAUUGAGUGUAAGUGCAGAAUCAGAGGGUGUUCUGAUUUCUGUGGAUUGUUGUGCCAAAAGGAGUGUGUUUCUUGAAGGGUUCAACGUCACUCUUUUGGUGGUUUGUGUUGUAAUCUAGUUUUGAUUGCUUAGUAGAAACACAGAAGUUUCUAGGGACUGGAUGUAGCUUUUGGCUUAAGAGUGAACUAGUAUAAAUUGCUUGUGUGUUUUUCUCUUACUCUGAUCUCUUUUAGAUUAUGUUUUUAAGUCAUUUUAAAUUCUCUGGUAUAAACAACCGAUUGAAUCAAAGAAACAACCGGUUGUUUUCUGUGAUUCAUCUUAAAACAAUUUGUAUUCUUGGCUAACUUAGUUCCUUUUCUGGAUUUCUUCACUAAGUUUCAUUAAACCUUCAAAAGUUUUCGAAAAUCUCUUUCAAACAAUUCACCCCCCCCUCUUGUUUAAAGGCCAUAUAUUCUAACAUGGUGGUGGUCUCUUCCUCUCUAAUGAGGCUCUCAUAAUGUAUAAUUCCAUUUUCUGCCUAUAUUCCUCUACACUCAUGGUUUUUGUUGGAGUCUCUGGAGCUUGUCCAUUAACUCCCUAUUAUAAUAAGAAGGAACAUGUUGGCAUCUUAAGGCUGCCCUAAGAUCAUUCCAGUAUUCUAUGGGAGGGUCCUUAUGAAGGCGCCUUUCUCUCUCAAGGGCAGUCCACCAGUAUAUAGCAUUUCCUUGAAAGCUUAGGGUAGCUAAGGGUACCUUUCUUUCCUCACUUAAUAAUUGUUCUACCUUCAUUUCCCAUUUUAGGUAAGCUUCUCUACAUUUUCUUUCCCAUAGAAAUGAGGUAGAUCUACCCUAACCUCCUUAGUGCUUUCUUUUCUAGCUCUCCUAGGGGGUGGUUGAUAGUAUUCAUUAAUUCUAGGACUUUGUUCCCUAAAAGAAUCAUUUCCCCUAAAGCUAGAUGCAUGAGAAUUUUUUUUGGAUUUAUUGUAUUCAUUCCUUUCUUAAACCAUUUUCAACUCUUCUUCCAUCAAAGCAAAAAUGGGCAUCCAUUUCUUUGAGUUGGGUCUCAUGUUGCAAUUGUCUAUAUGAAAGUGAUUGAAAGUCUUGUGCUAGUUGUUUCAAAAGAGAUGAUUUAAUAGACUCUCCAUCAUUUUCACUAGAGUGAUGAGAAUGAGAAGACAUGGUUAAAGUUAUGUGUUAAGAGCAAUUUACCACAAGAAAGAUAGGUGGAGUAAUGUAGGUAGAUUCUAAGGAAAGGGAGGUGGAUCACUUGGAUCACUUAAGUACCAAGCCUUUCCUAACUAGAUUCUAUCUUUCAAUACUUUCACAAACCUUUCUCUAAGUAAUUCACUUAGAGCACAAUCAAGAAUGAAAUCACAAUUUUAUACAAGAAAACAAAAAUACUAAAAGCAAUUAAUCACAAUUGAAAUUUAAUUCUAACUAGAAAGCUUUAAACUAGUCUCAAGAAAGAUAUACAAAUGAUUGUCAGAAUGUUUCAGCCUCCAACUGUGAGUCGGGCUUUUGCCCUUGCAAGGAUGUAUGAGGUUGUUACUCCUGUCUUUAAUUCUAACAAGAAUCCAAGAGGAGUAUUGGGUCCUGCACUGACGUCUCCAAGGGGGUCUCAACCAAAUUCACAUACCCAGCCCAAAUUUCAGAGAAACCUUACACCGACAUACAUGUCAGAGAGGAGAGCGAAAGGACUAUGUUAUUUUUGUGAUGAUCCUUAUUCCAUGGAGCAUAGUUUGGUUCAUAAGAAAUUUCAAAUUCAUGUGAUGGAGAUGGACAACGAUGACAUUACCGUUUAGGACACUGCAGGUGAGGAGGAGGAGCCAACACAGUCGGUUGAACCACAAAUUUUUGUUAAUGCUUUAACGAGGGUAACAUGAUUUCGAACCAUGAGAAUUACGAGAUAUUAUUAGAAAAAACCAAUGCACAUUUUGAUUGACAGUGGCAGUACCCAAGAUUUCUUGGAUGCUCAAAGUUGCUAAAAACUAUGGGUGUACAAUUGAACAAAUGCAACCUUUGAAUGUUGUGGUGGCAGAUGGAUCUAAAAUCUCAAUUUCUUCUAUGGUCAAGAAUUUCAAGUGGACUAUUCAGACAACAGAUAUGUUGUUACUUCCCUUAGGGUGUUGCGACUUGGUAUUAUGCAUUGAAUGGCUAAUACAACUAGGAGAUAUCAUAUGUAACUUUGAUAACCUUACUAUGGAGUUUAGAGUCCAAGGAAGGAGACACGUGUUAAGAGGAGCGACAACAAAUAAGGUAAAAAAUGUUAAGAAACAACAGUUUUGUAAAACACUUAUCGAUGGAGUGCACCUCUCGUUGAUGCAAGUAGCGGAUGAAACAGGAACUUUAUUACAGUCCUUAACAACCCAUGCCCACGCCCAGGUGGACCAAUAAGGAUUACCGCUUGAAGUAGAAGAGUUACUUGAAGAGUUUCAAGAUGUGUUUCAAGAACCCACUCAAUUACCUCCAUUCAGGACAGAACAUGAUCACCAAAUAACCUUGAGUCAAGGAGUAGACCGAGUAAAUAAGAGACCAUAUAGGUAUGCGAAAACCCAAAAAGACAUUAUUAACAAACUUAUACAGGAAUAUUUGAAGUCUGGAAUCAUUCAUAACAGUAGUAGCCCCUAUGCAAGUCCAGUAGUGCUGGUGAGAAAGAAAGAUGGAUCAUGGUGGUUAUGCGUGGACUAUAGGGAGUUAAAUAAGGGUACAGUAAAAAAUAAGUUUCCUAUUCCCUUAGUUGAUGACUUGUUAGACGAACUUAAAGGCUCCACAAUCUUUUCGAAAAUUGACUUGAGAGAAGGGUACAAUCAAGUCAGAAUGGACCCUGCAGAUAUAUGGAAAACAACAUUCAAAACACACUCAAGACAUUAUGAAUACUUGGUAAUGCCAUUUGGCCUCACGAAUGCACCUGCUACUUUUCAUGGACUCAUGAACACAAUAUUUCAACAAUUUUUUAGGAAUUUUUUAUUAGUUUUCUUCGAUGACAUUCUCAUUUAUAGUAAGAAUUUGACGGAACAUCUCCAACAACUGCGACAAGUCUUGGUAAUCCAUAGACUCAAUUCUUUAUUUUCUAAAAGAUCCAAGUGUUAUUUUGUGGUGGAUAGUGUGGAAUACUUGGGACAUAUCAUAUCAGGUAAAGGUGUUUCUACUGAUCCUAAUAAAACUACAGCCAUUGUCAACUGGCCUUUACCUCAUACCCUAAAGCAGUUAAGGGGUUUUUUUGGGGCUAGCUGGUUAUUAUAGGCAAUUUGUUAAAGGCUAUGGAGUCAUCACUAAACCCUUAACUGAUAUGUUAAAAAGAGACAAUUAUACAUGGACUGAUAUAGUUGUACAAGCUUUUGACAAGCUGAAAACAUUAAUGAGUAGCACACCAGUUCUGGAACUUCCAAACUUCACACAAAAUUUUGUUAUCGAGGUAGAUGCUUCUGGAUACAGAAUUGGGGCAGUUUUAAUGUAGGAAAGUCAUCCUAUAACUUAUAUUAGCAAAGCUUUUAAUAAGCAACAACAAUCUUAUUCAACUUAUGAAAAGGAAUUGUUGGGAGUAGUCUUUGCGGUACAGAAAUGGAGGCAUUACCUAUUAAAUAGGCAUUUUAUUAUCAAGACAGGUCAUUACAACCUAAAAUACAUCCUGGACCAGAGGUGGACCACUGAUUUUCAGCAAAAAUGGUUAGUGAAAUUGAUGGAAUUUGACUUCUCAAUAGAGUACAAAAAAGGGCAAGACAAUGUUGUAGUUGAUGCCCUUUCUAGACUGGAAAAUGUGGAAUGCAAAAGCCUUAUCACUCUUCAAUUAGAGUCACAUCUGCUAACUAGAAUAAAACAAUCUUGGACUGCUGAUUCAAAUUUACAGAAAUUGAUUAAGAGGUGCAAAAAAAUGUAACUGCCCACAAGCAUUAUACAUGGCAGCAUGAUGAAUUGAGAAGAAAAGGAAGAUUGGUGGUAGGAAACGACUCCCUAUUGAGGAAAGAAAUUUUGCAGUGGUUGCAUGCUUCAGCUAGUGGGGAACAUUUGGGAGUAAAUGCAACUAUAAAGAGAGUUAAAGCAAUGGUUUACUGGAAAGGGUUAAAUGGAGAUAUAAAACAUUUUAUACAGCGCUGCACAAUGUGCCAACAAAAUAAAAGUGAUACAGCUGCGAGUCCAGGUUUAUUACAGCCCUUUUGCCCAUUCCUGAAAAUAUUUGGCAUCAUAUUACUAUGGAUUUCAUUGAAGGAUUGCCUAGUUCCUAUGACAGCCACCAAAGUGCUUGUGAAAAGGAAGCAUAACCAAAGUGCUACACGGGAGUUUUACUAUGACUUCAAAAGAAAAUACCCUUCAUUUCAUUCUUGAGGACAAGAAUGUUUUCAUGGGAGAGGUAUUAUUACAUAUAAAGUAAAGUGAGUUUUAGAUGUAAAGUGAGCGGUGAGUGUGAUCCUCCGCUUUCACCGCUUAGCUACAUACAUAAAAAUACAUAUUUUAAUCAUGGAAAGAAAUAUUAUAAUACAGAUUUUACUCACCUCUAGAUUCUUCCUUUGUUUUCUCUUCUCUGUGCGAACCCGAUUCUCGAUUAUGCUCCUCUUCUCUGUGUAGAAACCCCAAUUGGGUUUUCUUCCUGCAAUCUUUAUCUUCCGUGCCCUUUGCAAGGAACCCUAGAUCCUGUUUUGUUUCUAUCAGUGUUGCACGAGUUUCGGAGAUCGGAAUUGUGAGCGGCGAAAAUGGGAGUCACGCAAUUGCAGCGAGGGAAGAAGUUCGUAUAUGAGAGGGAAGAGAAGGAAAUAAGGGAAUGAGAACGAUGGAAAGAAAAAUUAAAAGUAAAAUAAAAUUUAAAAUGGAG